CGAACAGAGCCGCUUCCGCUUCCGCUCACGUUACGCACACACCAUGGGUAACGUCACACGCCCCGCGCCUCGCCCCUCCCAAGUCGUGUUUGCAGUCUCUCGGGCCUCCCGCGUCCUACUUGUCAGUCUGCCCGCGAAAUGGCGCAGACGGGGCACUUCCCACCCCGCUGUACUCUUAGGCCCUUAUGCCGGCAUAGGAACCGUGAAUGUCGAGGACGCUCUUCUGCGGGUCUGGGACCACUUGUGCAACCUGGCGCUUGAAGACUGCUUUCGGACAGUCCUCGACCACCGGUUGCUUGGGAACAUUGAGAAGAGCAAAAGACUAAAGAUGAAGCAAUGAAGUAUACCAACAUUUAGUGAGGAAGGAGAGAAUGAACAACGAAGUGGGAACAAUCAGAAAAGAAGUUAAGUCCUGAAGCCUAAAGAAGGAGAAGUGGACAGCUCUGACGGAGAGCCCAUAAAGCAAAGACUGGGAAGUGAGCACUGGAUGAAGCAGCAGGACAACCAUUGUUUGUAAUUGCCAGGGAAGUAAAGAGUGUAAAAGUGAGAGCAGA